AGAGACAGGGUUCAGAGAUAUUGAGUGCUGGAUUUUAUUACUGAUACAGAAAAUAUAUAAGAGUUGGGCAGUAUGACAGUAUAUACCAUAAGAUGACAAUGAUCUCUGCUGUGUUUAAAUUUUGUAUGUCAUACAUUAUUUAUUUGACUGGGUUAGCAACAAACAUGCAGCAUAAUAUUUUCAAGAAAACAUACCACACUGAGACACACACUGUUAUCACAAUUGAAAUAUAAAAUGGGAGAGGAUUUACAGUAUAGAGAGGAUUUACAGUAUAUCACCCAGCCCAGGUGGAAGUUGAAAUAUAUCAACAGAUGAAAAUUCAGUUGCUACAGUAGAAGAAAUGUGUGUAUGUGUAAUUACAGAAGUGUCCAAAGGCAGCAUUUGCUUUGUACCAAAUACCAACUAAGGUUUCCUUCACAAAUCACUCUAAGUACUUAAGGGUCAUUCACAACAAUGGGUAUUGACUGAAACAAUUAUACUGCUUAAGUUAUAGUAUGAAACAUCAAGCAAACUACACACAAAGCACUACUAUCUGAACUUCUAAAAAGUUUGUCUACUUCAAAAAUCAUAUAAGUAUAGCCUUUAUACAAAAAUAAUGCUUAUAUUAGUUCAGACUAGCAAAAUCAUACCACACUGAAUGUUCUUAUCAAUUUAGGAAAACACAAGUUCAAUUUAGAUAGGGUUUAAGUCAGUGAUCGUCACUCAAAGGUCACUUUAGAGACCACUGACAGAUACACUGUGGCUGGUAGUUCUAGUCCUUGGGCUGUACAAGUUAAAGUACUGAGCCACAUACAGUACACACAAUUAAGGGUGCGGUUUACUAAAGCAGCAUAUUUUCUGACAGAAUGUCAAGGAUUCGCACCAAAACAGCACAUCAGCUGCUCCUUAUGGCAAAAACAAUCUAGAGCAGAGCUGUAAAGGUUUCACGUUUACAUCAGAAUGAACACUGUGGCAGACAGGAAGGGAGCAACAAAUGUCUUUCCAGUUUCCACACUGCAAUUAGGGCAGCAGGAAAGAGAGCUGUUACUCUCUACCGUCAGAAGUACACCCUGAGUUUAUGCAUUCUUUGUGAUCUGAUGAAUACUGUGAGGGCCUGAGUAAGUGAAUCUCAAAGAGCAAGAACAGUAAAAGAAUUAGGAAUGCACAUGCUCAAAUUUCAUCAGCUAGUUUCAUGUUUUAGCCAUAAGAGCUGAAUGUUAAAUCAAUGCAGUUGAGAGUACUGAGUAAGAAAAAAAAAAAAAAGCCAAAACCACAGAGCCUGAAUAGGGGUUAUGCGCAACUUACUUCCGUAUACUGCAAAACAGAAUCAUCUGUUUCCGGUUUGCGACUAGUAUGAAAUAUGGCACUGUUCUACUCAAGAUGUCUCCAAGAACUACCAAAGAUGAAGAUCACGGAUGUACACCGAAUAUGCAGUUCGACGUCUAAAACACCGGGCAGCAAGCUGGAUAAGGGGUUUAAGCUAUAUGCUUCUUCAUACAUCCACGACUACGAAGUAUCAAAUAAAGACACAGCGACAGGUGCUGUCAGCAUCAGAGCAUCAUGUCACAGGUCUGUGAAGAAAAACGAGAAGCCCGAUAGCCUGAAAGUAAUGUUGGUGAAUGGUUGGCUUUUCUGUUUGUCCCCAGUGUGUUCCAGUUAAGGGACAAUAUGAAUAUGAUCUUGAACAUGCUCCUUUGACUAUCCAGUCACAAUGUUCUAGAGCUGUCAUAUUAUGACAUGUGUUGGACUCAAUUCUACACAUGCUUGGUAAAUGCAUGCCACGUUCAUUUAUGCCGUUUGGCUACUUU